UCCACCGAAAGAAAAAGAGUGGCGAACGGGUGAGUAACACGUGGGUAACCUGCCCAUCAGAAGGGGAUAACACUUGGAAACAGGUGCUAAUACCGUAUAACACUAUUUUCCGCAUGGAAGAAAGUUGAAAGGCGCUUUUGCGUCACUGAUGGAUGGACCCGCGGUGCAUUAGCUAGUUGGUGAGGUAACGGCUCACCAAGGCCACGAUGCAUAGCCGACCUGAGAGGGUGAUCGGCCACACUGGGACUGAGACACGGCCCAGACUCCUACGGGAGGCAGCAGUAGGGAAUCUUCGGCAAUGGACGAAAGUCUGACCGAGCAACGCCGCGUGAGUGAAGAAGGUUUUCGGAUCGUAAAACUCUGUUGUUAGAGAAGAACAAGGAUGAGAGUAGAACGUUCAUCCCUUGACGGUAUCUAACCAGAAAGCCACGGCUAACUACGUGCCAGCAGCCGCGGUAAUACGUAGGUGGCAAGCGUUGUCCGGAAUUAUUGGGCGUAAAGCGAGCGCAGGCGGUUUCUUAAGUCUGAUGUGAAAGCCGGCGGCUCAACCGGGGAGGGUC
rnacentral:rRNA from 1 species